rnacentral:lncRNA from 1 species
UUUGUGGCUUAGAUAAAGCAAGAAAAGCAAAAGAAGAAACAGCUAUAAGAUACAGUUAUUCUUGACAUGAAGAACAAGAAUAACAUGUAGCAGAAGUUGUCUAUGUUGUGUAUUUAUUUUAUUAUUCUUGAUAUUGAUCUAGUAGCAGAAGCUGUCUAUGUUGUGUAUUUAUUUUAUUAUUCAGAGGAGGAUUCGAACACUGUAUUCAACUCUA